rnacentral:rRNA from 1 species
UGGCGGACGGGUGAGUAAUGUCUGGGAAACUGCCUGAUGGAGGGGAAUAACUACUGGAAACGGUAGCUAAUACCGCAUAACGUCGCAAGACCAAAGAGGGGGACCUUCGGGCCUCUUGCCAUCGGAUGUGCCCAGAUGGGAUUAGCUAGUAGGUGGGGUAACGGCUCACCUAGGCGACGAUCCCUAGCUGGUCUGAGAGGAUGACCAGCCACACUGGAACUGAGACACGGUCCAG